GGUGAGAUGAUGCCAAAACAAAGCCAUCUCAGAGACAUUUGGAAUAUUUGGGCAGAGAAGCGUAGGUAGUUGAUGAGGAAGACAAUUUCUAGUUAUUCAACACACUGUGGCUUAGUGUUGUGAGCAAACGAGGCCAAUAUAUACAGAGAGUUUCUUUGUUCAGAUAUUUGUAAACGGAAGUUUCCUGGGCUUUCAUGUAAUAAACUUGGCGAGGACAGUGGGCCUUUGAGGAAAGUUACAUAAAUUGUUUCUUUCUCAGAAGGUGAGGAUGAAGAAGAAGAAGAGGAAGAAGAUGGUGAGGAGGAGGAAUUUGAAGAGGAGGAGGAGGAUGAAGAAGGAGAAGAAGGAGAAGAUGAAGAAGAUGAAAUUAGUAUAGAGGAGGAAGAAUUUGAACGUGACGGAGAGGUGGAGGAUGAAGAAGAGGAGGAUGAGGAUGAAGGGAACUUGAAGCAGCAUAUAUGUGAUUCCUAGAUAGCUUUCCAGACACUGAUCAAAUCAGAUCUGUUUAGCUUGAACAAGGUAGAGAAUUCUUAUAUCUUCAUAAGUCCCUUCACAACAAGCAUUUUAUUUUAAGACACUGUGUGGCCAUUAUUAUCACCUUACUUACAGACGCUUCAGAAGUAUGAGAAUAUCGUAGAAGCAGAUGUAGAAACGCUCGGUUUAAUUAUUUAAGCAAGGAAGCCAGUUUAUGGUUCAAUGCAUCAGUUAAAUUGCAGGUUAUUAUAAAAGGAUGUUAAAUAAAUUGAUGGAAAUCAA
rnacentral:lncRNA from 1 species